rnacentral:tRNA from 1 species
AUUGGAUAGAGCGUCGGCCUCCGGAGCCGAAGGUUACAGGUUCGAGCCCUGUCGGGGAUA